CAGCAGCCGCGGGAAUACGUAGGGUGCGAGCGUUAAUCGGAAUUACUGGGCGUAAAGCGUGCGCAGGCGGUUGUGUAAGACAGGUGUGAAAUCCCCGGGCUUAACCUGGGAACUGCGCUUGUGACUGCACAGCUAGAGUAUGGCAGAGGGGGGUGGAAUUCCACGUGUAGCAGUGAAAUGCGUAGAUAUCGGAAGGAACACCUGUGGCGAAAGCGGCUCACUGGACCAUUUCUGACGCUGAUGCACGAAAGCUAGGGGAGCAAACAGGAUUAGAUACCCCAGUAGUCCCUGUCUCUUAUAC
rnacentral:rRNA from 1 species